rnacentral:rRNA from 1 species
CCUACGGUCCGACGACAUUUACACGAAAAUUUGGUACCCCUUGACCGAGUCGGCAGACUCGUAGUAGGUUGGGUUAGUCGGAAGUGUCGAGAGGGCCGCUUUGAUUCCUCCCUGCAUGCCCUCUCCACUGUCCACAACGGAGUACGCAAGAGCGUUCGUUGACCGGUACGAUAACGACAACCGUGACAACGACGAGACAUUACUGUCUCAACCGUUGCAGUUUCCGAAUUGCUAGGUGCUCUCAUCGUAGCAGCUAGACGUACGCGACGAGCUAAAGUUCGUCCCGUAGUGGCUGCUAGGUGCUCCUCGGAACUCGUCGACCUGGUUGUUGUGGGUGAAGACAGCUACCGCACCACACUUGACGUGGUGUUGUGCAGGCAAAGCGCAGAGCGCCGAACAGGAGUGGCCGGACCUAAAUCGUCCUGUUUAGUGGAGGAGAGAACCUUUGUACUGAAAGGAAGUUAGUGAGCUGGAAAAAAAAAACCUUCCAAGUUAGUGAGCUGGAACUCACCUUAUUGAAGCAGCCGGGGUAUGGAUAGGAACCGGCAGAGGUUGUCGACGUGUGUGAAGCCUUGCUCCACUGCUGUUAACGUUGGCUGCUACGGAAGCUGUUCCUCUGCCGUGGAUUCCACGGCGGCAGUAGGCGGUACUAGCUCCAGUUGUACCAAAA